GGUUGUGUAGUGUAGUGGUUAUCACUCGAGAUUUUGAAAUUACGUAAGCAAAAGCUGUUACGUAAUGAAUCUUCUCGUAACCCCGGUUCGAACCCGGGCACGACCU